ACGGGCAUAGCUCAGUUGGUAGAGCACUGGAUUCCAAAUCCAGGUGUCGGGGGUUCGAGUCCUCCUGCCCGUGCCA
rnacentral:tRNA from 1 species